rnacentral:lncRNA from 1 species
CUGCUCCAGAAGUCUCCGGGCGCUGUGUGGCAGGAUGAGGAGCUGCCCCCCUGGAGGAUCACGCAGGCCUCUGGGUGGCAUUCAGCAGGGUUGGCUGCGGCACCGGCUGACCACAGGGCCCAACUUUCCAGUCCCAGCCGGAGGGAAGCGUCUCAACCAUGUUGUAGGCACACGGGUGAGGGUGCUGCCUGCCUCCCUGACUCUUACCUCCCCAAGAGAGGAAAACAAAAGAAAAAAAGAUAAGACCAGGAAAUGGAAAUAAGACAAAGAAGAAUGAAAUUUUAAAAUCCGAACAAACCCAAACAUGCUGUUUCAAAACAUUCACCAGAGAUGCAGAGGCGGAGGAUACGUUCCUGUUUACAUUGAUACAUAGUUACAUAGGUGAAGAGCUUUACAGCGAGGAAGCGGCUCACGCGGCCAUGAGGGACCCAGGCAGGAGCUGCUGUUGCUGCCCCAGCAACUCCACGAGUGCUCGAUGGGAAACUGCAGACAGCAGCCUUGCCAAGCGGAUGCCCAGGGCCGACCACCGCAGCCCCUCCAGCCACGUUCUCCAUCAGGGCAGCCUCCUGCUGGCUUCGGCACUGCAGGCAGCACACCAGCGAGGGGUGGGGCUGUGUGCCACGAAGCGUCAUCCAUGGACAUGCCACGAAGGGUUAUUCUUCUUUUGACUUUUUCUGAUGGUUUAAAACUGUAAGAACAUGCAGCUCACAGUCCGCACGGAAGCAGGCAUGUGGCUCCUGCCUCACUGUGGGAGGAAAGAUGUUCUCUAAAGAAAUGGCUGGGUUUGCGGAGGGGUUUGUGGAGGGCCGGGCAGUCUGAACACAGCCCAGCUGGCCUUGGUGGAGGUGGGGCUGGCACAGGGGGGUGGGGGCAGUUCUUCCUGACGCAAAUCCUAACGCCUUCAACACUGACCUUCCAAAGAAACAGCUGCUGGACGCUGCCCGACAGCAACGAGAGCCCCGCUCCUAAGGCGCGCGACUCUCGAGGGCUUUGUUGUUUAUUUGGCACCCGAGGCCCAGGCUCACAGGGUCUCGGGUGCAUGGGACCCCCCAGCCCUUCCCACUGCUCUGCGAUUCUUCCUCCCUUCUGGAAAGGUCAGUUUGGGGUUCUAUUCUGGGAGGGGCCAGGCCGCCACCUGGCCUCAUUAACUGGGCAGGCCACUGGGACCUCCUCCGAAACGCUGCGGCCCUGGCCGAAGACUUGCCUCCCGCCGGGAGCCUUCGGCCCUCUUAGUAGUGGAUGUGGGCUUCCUCCCUCUGAGGGGACGUCCUGAUGGACACGAGAUGUGGGGCGCCCGUGGGUGGCCGCCUGCUCCUGCCACAGUCCCCCUUGGGGCCUGAGCUGCGGCUGCUGCCUCCGUAGGGAAGGAACAAUGGGGGGUGGGCCCGCCCCUACCCAGAGAGAGUGGGCCGUGUUGCCUGCAAGGCCUCAGCCAGGGGACCACGUUUCUCUGCAUCUUGUGGCUUUGGGUUCUGCAGGCUGUUUGUGGGAGAACGGGAAACAGUCCCAGAGAUGACGCUGCCUCAUGCAGGUUAACAGAGUUGGAGGUCAGGCCGACGCCUGAGGCUCAGGACGCUGAUGGGCGCCUUCCCUCACCAGGGCCAUUUGGUGGAGACUCUGAGAGCCUGAACUUAGAAGCCCGCCGAGAGGGGAAGUGGCG